rnacentral:rRNA from 1 species
ACGUAGGUGGCGAGCGUUGUCCGGAUUUACUGGGCGUAAAGGGAGCGUAGGCGGAUUUUUAAGUGAGAUGUGAAAUACCCGGGCUCAACUUGGGUGCUGCAUUUCAAACUGGAAGUCUAGAGUGCAGGAGAGGAGAAUGGAAUUCCUAGUGUAGCGGUGAAAUGCGUAGAGAUUAGGAAGAACACCAGUGGCGAAGGCGAUUCUCUGGACUGUAACUGACGCUGAGGCUCGAAAGCGUGGGGAGCAAACAG